UGGCCUUGACAUAGAAAGAAUUUAGCAGAGAUGUAAAAGUGCUAGUUUACUAGAGCUUUCAUACAGGUGCUGCACGGCUGUCGUCAGCUCGUGUCGUGAGAUGUUAGGUUAAGUCCUGCAACGAGCGCAACCCUCGUGUUUAGUUACUAACAGUUCGGCUGAGGACUCUAGACAUACUGCCUGGGCAACCAGGAGGAAGGUGAGGACGACGUCAAGUCAUCAUGGCCCUUAUGGCCAGGGCUACACACGUGCUACAAUGGGGUAUACAAAGAGCCGCAAUACCGCGAGGUGGAGCAAAUCUCAUAAAAUAUCUCCCAGUUCGGAUUACACUCUGCAACUCGAGUGUAUGAAGUUGGAAUCGCUAGUAAUCGUAGAUCAGCAAUGCUACGGUGAAUACGUUCCCGGGUCU
rnacentral:rRNA from 1 species